AGGGACUUUAUUUUUAAUGAAAUUUCAGUUUUGUUUUGUUUUGUUUUUUAAUGCUCAGAAUUGAAGCCAGAACCUGACAUGCUACAAAUGUGGUUUUCUACCACAGGGCCUUCAUCUCAAAACUUAGGGAUGGUUUUCAGAGAGUAAAAUAUACUUGUACAAGUAUACAGUAAACAUUCGUUAGAACAUUCAUUCAUUGAAUUCAUUAAUUAAAUGAAGGAGUUGAUAUGUCUGCAAAGAAUUCAAGAAUCAGAAAGAUUCAUAGAUUGGGAGUAUUUGAAUACAUUUGCUCAUGGAGGCAAAGCCUGCUUUCUCACUGUCUGGGGAAUGGCAGUUACCCUCAGUCUCCGCCCCUCCCGUGACGUCAUAUGGUUCGAUCAGCUGACGUCACAUGGUCCGAGGGUUUCAGCCAGUUAGAAUGUAACACUUCUGAG
rnacentral:lncRNA from 1 species